rnacentral:rRNA from 1 species
GUAACGCUGGCGGCGUGCCUAACACGUGCAAGUCGAACGGUUCUAAGCGCGAGCUUAGGAUAGUGGCGAACGGGUGAGUAAAAGGUAGGAAUCUACCCCUUGGACGGAGAUAGCUACUGGAAACGGUAGGUAAACUUCGAUAAGCCCGAGAGGGGAAAGUGGUGAGACAGCCGAGGGAUGAGCCUACUCUCCAUCAGGUAGUUGGUGAGAUAAAAGCUUACCAAGCCGAUGACGGAUAACCGGUGUGAGAGCAUGAACGGUCACAAGGGCACUGAGAGACGGGCCCUACUCCUACGGGAGGCAGCAGUGGGGAAUCUUGGACAAUGGGCGAAAGCCUGAUCCAGCGACGCCGCGUGGAGGAAGAAGUCCUUCGGGAUGUAAACUUCUGAACUAGCCGAAUAAAAGGCCUGUGGACACACAGGAGAAGAAAGUAGGCUAGGAAAAGUCCCGGCUAACUACGUG